rnacentral:rRNA from 1 species
GACGAACGCUGGCGGCGUGCUUAACACAUGCAAGUCGAACGGAAAGGCCCUGCUUUUGUGGGGUGCUCGAGUGGCGAACGGGUGAGUAACACGUGAGUAACCUGCCCUUGACUUUGGGAUAACUUCAGGAAACUGGGGCUAAUACCGGAUAGGAGCUCCUCUGCGGGGGGGGGGAUGGAAAGUUUGGGCGGUUGGGGAUGGAAUCGCGGGUUAUCGGCUUGGUGGGGGGGUAGUGGCUUACCAAGGCUUUGCCGGGUAGCCGGCCUUGGAGGGGGACCGGCCACAUUGGGCCUGAGAUACGGCCCAGACUCCUACGGUAGGCAGCAGUGGGGAAUAUUGCACAACGGGCGCAAGCCUGAUGCAGCAACGCCGCGUGCGGGAUGACGGCCUUCGGGUUGUAAACCGCUUUAGCCUGUGACGAAGCGUGAGUGACGGUAAUGGGUAAAGAAGCACCGGCUAACUACGUG